rnacentral:rRNA from 1 species
AUGCAUUCAAAGAGUGCGUAACAGCUCACUGGUCGAGUGGACAUGCGCCGACAAUUCACGGGGCUAAGCGAUGCGCCGAAGCGGCGGAAUGUAUAUACAUUGGUAGGGGAGCUUCCCCUGCGCGGCGAAGCCGGAGGGCGACCGACGGUGGAGCGCAGGGGAGUGAGGAUGCUGGCAUGAGUAACGAGAGCGGCGCGGGAAACGCCGCCGCCGUAAGCCCAAGGUUUCCUGGGCAAGGCUAAUCCUCCCAGGGUCAGUCGGGAGCUAAGGCGAGGCCGGAAGGCGUAGCCGAUGCGCAACAGGCGGACAUUCCUGUACCGCCUCGGGACCGCUACGACCGAAGGGGCGACGGAGAAGGGUACGCAGGCGGGGUUCUGGACGCCCCCGUGAAAGCAUGUAGGCCGCAGGGCAGGCAAAUCCGCCCUGCGCACAAGGCCGAGACGCGAGACGAAGCCGCAAGGCGAAGCUGCGGAGCCCACGCUCCCUGGAAAAACCCCUAGGCAGGGCCCGAGGCGCCCGUACCAAAACCGACACAGGUGGGCGGGUAGAGCAUACCGAGGCGAUCGGGGGAACCAUGGUCAAGGAACUCGGCAUAAUCGCUCCGUAACUUCGGGAGAAGGAGUGCCGCUGCAGGUGGAGGGACAUCGCUCCCCGAGCCCGCGGCGGCCGCAGCGAAACGGCCCAAGCGACUGUUUACCAAAAACACAGGACUCUGCCAACCCGCGAGGGGAAGUAUAGGGUCUGACGCCUGCCCGGUGCCGGAAGGUUACGCGGAUGCGUUAGCACUCGUGCGAAGCGCUGAAGCCAAGCCCCGGUAAACGGCGGCCGUAACUAUAACGGUCCUAAGGUAGCGAAAUUCCUUGUCGGGUAAGUUCCGACCUGCACGAACGGCGUAACGACUUGGGCGCUGUCUCGACCAUGGACCCGGUGAAAUUGCACUAUUCGUGAAGAUGCGAAUUACCUGCGGAAGGACGGAAAGACCCCGUGAACCUUCACUGCAGCUUGGCAUUGGCCGUUGGCUCGGCGCGUAGAGGAUAGGCAGGAGGCUAUGAAACCGGGGCGCCAGCCCCGGCGGAGCCGCCCUUGGAAUACUGCCCCCUCCGUUCCGGCGGCCUAACGCGGCGCCUUAUAUCAGGGCCGCGGACCGUGCCAGGCGGGUAGUUUGACUGGGGCGGUCGCCUCCCAAAGAGUAACGGAGGCGCGCAAAGGUUGGCUCAGGACGGUCGGCAACCGUCCCGAGAGCGCAAGAGUGCAAGCCAGCUUGACUGCGAGGCGGACGGGCCGAGCAGGUGCGAAAGCAGGCUCUAGUGAUCCGGCGGCCCAGAGUGGAAUGGCCGUCGCUCAACGGAUAAAAGGUACUCCGGGGAUAACAGGCUGAUCUUGCCCA